rnacentral:tRNA from 1 species
CGGAGCGUGGCGCAGUAUGGUAGCGCACUCGCCUGGGGGGCGAGGGGUCGUAGGUUCGAAUCCUAUCGCUCCGA